GGAGGGUGCAAGCGUUAAUCGGAAUUACUGGGCGUAAAGCGCACGCAGGCGGUUUGUUAAGUCAGAUGUGAAAUCCCCGGGCUCAACCUGGGAACUGCAUCUGAUACUGGCAAGCUUGAGUCUCGUAGAGGGGGGUAGAAUUCCAGGUGUAGCGGUGAAAUGCGUAGAGAUCUGGAGGAAUACCGGUGGCGAAGGCGGCCCCCUGGACGAAGACUGACGCUCAGGUGCGAAAGCGUGGGGAGCAAACAGGAUUAGAUACCCUGGUAGUCCACGCCGUAAACGAUGAUAACUAGCUGUCAGGGCACUUGGUGCUUUGGUGGCGCANCUAACGCAUUAAGUUAUCCGCCUGGGGAGU
rnacentral:rRNA from 1 species